rnacentral:rRNA from 1 species
GACGAACGCUGGAGGCGUGCUUAACACAUGCAAGUCGAACGAUGAAAUGGAGCUUGCUCCAUGGAUUAGUGGCGAACGGGUGAGUAACACGUGAAUAACCUGCCCUUAAUUUUGGAAUAACCCAGGGAAACCUGGGCUAAUACCGGAUAAGUAAACCUGUGGCAUCACAUGGUUUUGGAAAGUUUUUCGAUUAAGGAUGGAUUCGCGGCCUAUCAGCUUGUUGGUGAGGUAAUGGCUCACCAAGGCGACGACGGGUAGCCGGCCUGCGAGGGUGAACGGCCACACUGGGACUGAGACACGGGCCAGACUCCUACGGGAGGCAGCAGUGGGGAAUAUUGCGCAAUGAACGAAAGUCUGACGCAGCGACGCCUCGUGAGGGACGAAGGUCUUCGGAUUGUAAACCUCUUUCAGCAGGGACGAAGCGAAAGUGACGGUACCUGCAGAAGAGGCACCGGCUAACUAUGUGCCAGCCGCCGCAGUAA